GUAGUCAUAUGCUUGUCUCAAAGAUUAAGCCAUGCAUGUCUAAGUAUAAGCAAUCUAUACAGUGAAACUGCGAAUGGCUCAUUAAAUCAGUUAUCGUUUAUUUGAUAGUACCUUACUACUUGGAUAACCGUGGUAAUUCUAGAGCUAAUACAUGCUAAAAAUCCCGACCUCUGGAAGGGAUGUAUUUAUUAGAUAAAAAACCAAUGUCUUCGGACUCUUGGGUGAUUCAUGAUAACUUUACGAAUCGCAUGGCCUUGCGCCGGCGAUGGUUCAUUCAAAUUUCUGCCCUAUCAACUUUCGAUGGUAGGAUAGUGGCCUACCAUGGUUUCAACGGGUAACGGGGAAU
rnacentral:rRNA from 1 species